rnacentral:rRNA from 1 species
AUGGAGCUCCUCCGCGCGGUCGUCCUGCUCUCCCUGGCGCUCCUGGCCAACGGCCGGGACACUGACCUCUCCCGGGAUAGCUUCCCCAAGGGCUUCGUCUUCGGCACCGCCUCGUCGGCGUACCAGGUGGAGGGCAACUCCCUCAAGUACGGCCGCGGGCCCUGCAUCUGGGACACCUUCCUCAAGUUUCCAGGUGCCACUCCCGACAACGCCACCGCCAACGUGACCGUCGACGAGUACCAUCGCUACAUGGACGAUGUGGACAGCAUGGUGAGGGUGGGCUUCGACGCCUACCGCUUCUCCAUCUCCUGGUCGCGCAUUUUCCGCAAUGGGAUCGGGAGGUUCAACAAAGACGGCGUGGACUACUACCACCGGCUCAUCGACUACAUGCUCGCCAACAACAUCACUCCGUACGUCGUGCUCUACCACUACGACCUGCCGGAGGUCCUCAACAACCAGUACAACGGCUGGCUCAGCCCCAAGGUCGUGCCCGACUUCAUGGCUUUCGCCGACUUCUGCUUCAAGACGUAUGGCAACCGGGUGAAGAACUGGUUCACCAUCAACGAGCCGCGGAUGAUGGCCUGGCACGGCUACGGCGACGGCUUCUUCGCCCCCGGCAGGUGCACCGGCUGCCGGUUCGGCGGCAACUCGGCCACGGAGCCCUACAUCGCCGGCCACCACCUCAUCCUCGCGCACGCCGCCGCCGUCCAGGUGUACCGCGACAAGUACCAGCGCAGGCAGAAUGGCACCAUCGGCAUCCUCCUGGACUUCGUGUGGUACGAGCCGCUGACCUACACCGUGGAGGACGAGUACGCGACGCACAGGGCGAGGGAGUUCACCCUUGGCUGGUACAUGCACCCGAUCACCUUCGGCCACUACCCGGAGACGAUGCGGAAGCUGGUGGGGUCGAGGCUACCCAACUUCACCGCGGAGCAGAGCAAGCUGGUGCAGGGCUCGGCGGACAUCAUCGGGGUCAACCACUACACCACCUACUACGUCAGGCACCACGAGAACCUGACGCACAUGAGCUACGCCACCGACUGGCAGGCCGAGCUUCUCUUUGAGCGCAAUGGCGUGCCGAUCGGAAGACAGGUAACGAUCCUCAAAUCUCACCACCAAAGAAACAAGGGUUGGGCAAGAAUUUGUGAUUCAUGCAUGAACACAUUGCAUUCAGGCGUUCUCGAAGUGGCUGUACGUGGUGCCCUGGGGGUUCUACAAGGCGGUGAUGCACGUGAAGAACAAGUUCAGGGACCCCUUGAUCCUCAUCGGCGAGAAUGGGAUCGACCAGUCGGGCAGCGACACGCUACGCACGCGCUCUACGACACCUUCAGGAUCGACUACUUCGACCAGUACCUCCACGAGCUGAAGCGCGCCAUCGCCGACGGCGCCAGGGUGACGGGCUACUUCGCGUGGUCGCUGCUGGACAACUUCGAGUGGCGGAUGGGCUUCACCUCCAAGUUCGGCCUCGUCUACGUCGACCGCAAGACCUUCACCCGGUACCCCAAGGACUCCACGCGCUGGUUUCGGAAGGUGAUCAAGAGCGAGGAGUACUGA